rnacentral:rRNA from 1 species
ACGUAGGCACCAAGCGUUGUCCGGAUUUAUUGGGCGUAAAGAGCUCGUAGGCGGUUCGGUAAGUCGGGUGUGAAAACUUUGGGCUUAACCCAAAGCCUGCAUCCGAUACUGCUGUGACUAGAGUUCGGUAGGGGAGCGGGGAAUUCCUAGUGUAGCGGUGAAAUGCGCAGAUAUUAGGAGGAACACCGGUGGCGAAGGCGCCGCUCUGGGCCGAUACUGACGCUGAGGAGCGAAAGCGUGGGUAGCAAACAGG